rnacentral:rRNA from 1 species
AUUGAACGCUGGCGGCAGGCUUAACACAUGCAAGUCGAGCGAGCGGCGGACGGGUGAGUAAUGUCUGGGAAACUGCCUGAUGGAGGGGGAUAACUACUGUAAACGGUAGCUAAUACCGCAUACCAUCAGAUGUGCCCAGAUGGGAUUAGCUAGUAGGUGGGGUAAUGGCCCACCUAGGCGACGAUCCCUACCUGGUCUGAGAGGAUGACCAGCAACACUGGAACGGAGGCACGGGCCAGACUCCAACGGGAGGCAGCAGUGGGGAAUAUUGCACAAUGGGCGCAAGCCUGAUGCAGCCAUGCCGCGUGUGUGAAGAAGGCCUUCGGGUUGUAAAGCACUUUCAGCGGGGAGGCGUUACUCGCAGAAGAGGCACCGGCUGACUCCUUGCCAGCGGCCGCGGUAAUAC